GGCGGCCGGCGCCCCCAGCCUUAACUGGCCAGGACGCCCGGCUAAGUGCCCGCCAGUAUACAAAACUCAAGAAUUCAUUUUGUGAAGUCCUGAUAUAUCAUUUAAUUGAUUAAAACUUUCAACAACGGAUCUCUUGGUUCUGGCAUCGAUGAAGAACGCAGCGAAAUGCGAUAAGUAAUGUGAAUUGCAGAAUUCAGUGAAUCAUCGAAUCUUUGAACGCACAUUGCGCCCUCUGGUAUUCCGGAGGGCAUGCCUGUUCGAGCGUCAUUUCAACCCUCAAGCUCUGCUUGGUAUUGGGCAACGUCCGCUGCCGGACGUGCYUUGAWKACYUCGGCGACGGCGUCCUAGCCUCGAGCGUAGUAGUAAAAUAUCUCGCUUUGGAGUGCUGGGCGACGGCCGCCGGACAAUCGACC
rnacentral:rRNA from 1 species